rnacentral:sRNA from 2 species
ACAAAACAUAUGCCUAAUCCAAUUUUGAUACACGUUGGAACGGGGGAACCAAUGAUUUGGGGUGAAACCGCGCAUGCGCGGUCGGGCGUCUUUCGACCGAACCCGUCAGCUAACCUCGUCGGCAGAUAAGAGAGGGAAU